rnacentral:lncRNA from 1 species
UGGACAUUUACGGGAGGAGGUGGCUGGGCUGGGUCUCAGCGCAGAAGGCAGUCGGAGCUCGGGCGCUGCUCCGCAAAGAAGCAAGUAAGCUGUAGGAGCGCUCGAAUUUUCCCCUCGCAGGCUGAUCCUUAGAACCCCAUCAAAUCCGCCAAAAACACCUGCUGUGUUUAGGGGUAGAGACACAUUGCAUCCCCUUCAUCGCCUUUCCGAAAGGAUCGGCUCAAUUCCCAAAGUCACACUGCGAGUCCUUUCCAUUUUCUCUGAACUGUGUAAUUUAAAAGGAAAAAUUUGGAUUACGAAAACACUGAUCAUUACAAAAACGGGGGUGGGGGGACCACAGCAGUGAGAGAACUAGACCCCGCAUGCAUUUUUGCCCUUCACGAGUCUACACAUCCUUACCAGGUACCACUCUCAAAAAGAAGCCUUGAGAACUAUUUUUCUGAAUCUGCCUGAAACUUCGAAGAUCCUUGGAAAUAUUUUCAACCUUCUCUAGCAGAUGAGCUUAAUAAAAGACCGUGUUAGUGCCUUAAAUAUAAUCAUUGAAAAAAAAGAGAAAAACAUUCAUGAAAAAGAAGUUGUCUAUUGUCAAUUGGGAGACCCAGGAGGCAACAGAGCCUAGCAGGUGUCCCGAUGAUUGCCACAGAUGGGAACCCUAGAUUUUGCAUGUAAGAACAGAGGAGGGAAUGUGUUAUCCUAGUGUGUGCCCAUCAGGUAUAUUUUGUGGAGGCCAAAAUACUCUCCACAUGAUCCACAGGCUAGAGGCCAUAGUUCAUUUCUGUGUCCC